rnacentral:lncRNA from 10 species
GCCUCAGCCUACACAGGGUCAGGAUCAUCAAUAUCACUGUCUUCCAUCUCCACAUCUUGUCCCACUGGAGGGUCUUCAGGGGCAAUAACAGGCAUGGAGCUGUCACCUCCUGUGAUAACAAUGCCCUUUUUUGGACACCUCCUGAAGGACCUGCCUGAGGCUGUUUUACGGUUAACUUCUAACAGUACACUCUAAAAUAAUGACAAAAAUUAUAGUACAGUUUGGUCCAAUGAUAGUGGGUUAUCAGAACUUACUAACAUUUAGUGUCACUAAAGUUGGUAUAAAACCCUCCACUGCUAAAUUUAAAUGGUUUACAGUUUCUUGGUUUUUUUUUUUUUAAAUAGGCUGGGUGCGGUGACUCACGAUUGUAAUCCCAGCACUUUGGGAGGCUGAGGCAGCCAGAUCACUUGAGGUCAGGAUUUCAAGACCAGCCUGGCCAAUAUACUGAAACCACAACUCUAUUAAAAACACAAAAUUAGUCAGGCAUGGUGGUGCACACCUGUAGUCCCAGCUACUCAGGGGGCUGAGGCAGGAGAAUCACUUGGACCAGGAGGCAGAGGUUACACUGAGCCAAGAUGGCACCACAGCAUUCCAGCCUGGGUGAUAGAGUGAGACCCCAUCUUAAAAAAAGAAUAAUAUAGUAUAUACAUAAAUAUCAAUUCCUCAUUCAUGGGGAAUCUUGUUGAUCAUUCUGGCUGCUUGAU